CCCUUAGAUGCUCUGGGCCGCACGCGCGCUACACUGGUCGAUGCAACGAGUUUCUUUCCUUGGCCGACAGGCCUGGGCAAUCUUUGAACAUCGAUCGUGAUCGGGAUAGAUUCUUGUAAUUUUUGAUCUUAAACGAGGAAUUCCUAGUAAACGCAAGUCAUCAGCUUGCAUUGAUUACGUCCCUGCCCUUUGUACACACCGCCCGUCGCACCUACCGAUUGAAUAGUCCGGUGAAAUCUCCGGACUGGCGUGAGUCGGAGCAAUCUGACAAACGCCGGAAAGUUGAUUAAACCUUACCAUUUAGAGGAAGGUGAAGUCGUAACA
rnacentral:rRNA from 1 species